rnacentral:tRNA from 1 species
GCGAGGAUGGCGAAAUUGGCAGACGCGCAAGAUUCAGAGUCUUGUGAUCGUAAGAUCGUGGGGGUUCAAGUCCCCCUCCUCGCA